UAGGGAAUCUUGCACAAUGGGCGAAAGCCUGUUGCAGCAACGCCGCGUGCGCGAUGAAGGCCUUCGGGUCAUAAAGCGCUUUUCUGGGAGAAGAGGAAGGACGGUAUCCCAGGAAGAAGGCUCGGCUAACUACGUGCCAGCAGCCGCGGUAAAACGUAGGAGCCAAGCGUUAUUCGAAUUUACUGGGCGUAAAGCGCGUGCAGGCGGCUCGAUAAGUUGAUUGUGAAAUCGCCCGGCUCAACUGGGCGAGGCCGGCCAAGACUGUCGGGCUGGAGGGCAGUAGAGGGAGGUGGAAUUCCCGGUGUAGUGGUGAAAUGCGUAGAGAUCGGGAGGAACACCAGUGGCGAAAGCGGCCUCCUGGGCUGUACCUGACGCUCAGACGCGAAAGCUAGGGGAGCAAACGGGAUUAGAACCCGGUAGUCCUAGCUGUAACGAUGUCGACUUGGCGUCGGUGGGUAAAAGCCAUCGGUGCCGGAGCAAACGCGGUAAGUCGACCGCCUGGGGACUACCGGG
rnacentral:rRNA from 1 species